UUUGUGCUUCCGCUGUGUGAUGUUGGAUGGAAAGCAACAUUUGUUUCUCCGUAAAACUAAUACCGCAUGGAUGCCCAUUUGCGAUCAAAUGCUGUGGCUAAUUUCUACCCGGAUUUCCAGGUUUAUUCUGUUAAACAUUCAAGUGAAUUGAUAUUUUGUGAAUUAUUCGGAAAGCUCGCAAUUUGAGUGAAGAGGGGGAGGGUCGUUGGUAGCCUAUCCAGUUAAAAUAAUUGAUAUUAGCAUUCAGAUUUAGAAAGCUGCAAAGUGCAUAACAUGUGCAUGCGUUAACUAUACAUACCGAACAGUGGCUGGUAUAAAACAGCAUAACCAUACGUGACCUGCAAAGGCCACGUUUCAAAGACAAGGGGAUGGCGGCGUCUGCAGCGCCGGAUGGUCUAGCGCCAGAACUUAUAGAUAUCUACGACGACUUCAAUCAAAACAAUGGGGAGGAAGGGGACUUCAUGGGUUCAGUGGAUCCAAAUGAUCUUUACGAUGAUGUAGUAACUGGUUCUGUGGAUCAGAGAAGGAUGUCAGGAGGGGACGUCAGGACACACAAAGACCUGGAGAAACAUGAUAAUCCCAAACCACUAAUAACAUAUAGCUACAGUGGGGGACAGACCAAGAGGCUUUCAGUCUAUGUUGGAAACUUCUCCUGGUGGACCUCAGACACAGAUCUGUUAAACUUGGCAAGCACGAUGGGAGUCAAGGACAUUUUGGAAAUCAAGUUUGCAGAGAAUCGAGCUAAUGGCCAGUCCAGAGGCUACGCUGAGCUUGUGGUGUCCACUGAGGCUUCUUUGCAAAAAUUGUUGGAGACCAUGCCACAGUGUCACAUCAACGGAGAGAGGGUGGACUGCCGUUUUGCCACACGGCAGAACCUUGCAGUGUUUGAAACACUGGCAAACAAACGUAUUCCGCAGCGUUCCAACUCCAAGUCAGAGUCAGAGGCAGCGGCCGACAACCGCCCCAACUUCCCUUCCUCUUCUGAGCCAUGCCCCCCCAGCCAUGCACCGCUUGUGAUGCCACCACAUCCCCAUGUCAACAAGCUCCCAUCUAUCGCUAUGCCAUUUUACGGCCGACCACCCCCUCUAUACCCCCCUCCCCAUCCCCCGCCACUCCUCUUACCACCACCAAUACCUCCUCCACUUUACCCACCCCCACCCCCACACAUCCCCACACACCAGCCCCCACCCGCUCUGCAUCUCAACCCAGCCUUCUUCCCCCCUCCUCAGGAGAGCUACAGCAACAACCCACCACCCUACACCCGACAAAGUAGGGAGAGGGAGGACUCCACACCUCCACUGCCUGACAGCGAAUAUGAUGAGCUGAUGAACAGAAACAAAACCAUCGCCAGUAGCGCCAUCAGCAAGGCUGUGGCAGGAGCCGCUGCAGGAGAUGUGUCCCUGGCUGUAGAGACCCUCCUCACUGCUAUUGCCGUCAUUAAACAGUCUCGAGUGUAUAGUGAUGAACGCUGUCGGGCUUUAGUGACUUCGCUGAAAGACUGCCUCUUCUCCAUUGAGAGCAAGUCUUACGGCUCAAGGAAGAAACAUCGAUCACGUGAGAGGGAACGCUCACGCGACAGGGAACACCGGGACCGGGACAGGGAGCGAGAGCGUGAUCGGGACCGAGACCGGGAGGGCUCCUACAGUCAAAACUGGGAAGCAGGAGGAAUGUCCCGCCGUUACAGAGACCGUUCUCUUAGCGCCGAGAGAGACCGGGAGCGGAUGCGGGCGCCGCGAGACCGGCAUCGAGAACACCGGGAUCGACACCGCUAGGUGCAGCUUUGUCUUUUUCCACCACCAGUUUCAAUAGACUAGACAGCCGUGGCCACUACUGAAGGUUCACCUGUAUUAACAAUGACAUUUCAGAACAUACUCAUGUUUGCAGCGUAGAGGGUCCCUUGGAAAAAGGAUUCUGUGCCAGGAUGUCUGAGGACUCAAAGGUAGACACAAGCGGAGGGGUUGUGCCCUUCCUCGGUCAUUCCCAUAUUUCACUCAAGUUGCCCCAAUCCCCCUGUUAGUUUUCAGCACUGAGGUUCUGUUAAAGAAUUAUUCAUGCCCAAGUGUCCCCAUCAUCACCAGGUUAUGUUGGAACAGAGAUCGUGCUUCAUUAAAGUUAAUAGAUUUAAAUUCUUUAAGUUGAUGAGUUUCAGAUGUCACUAGUGCUGUGGUACUGCACAUAUUAAUUUUUAUAUGUUCACUGUUUAUUUUGAUCAUUUCUGCUUCAUUCUUUUGUAAGUACAAUCUCAGAAUUAAAAUGAAUAUAUAAGUU